rnacentral:rRNA from 1 species
ACAUGCAAGUCGAACGCUUUGUGGUUCAACUGAUUUGAAGAGCUUGCUCAGAUAUGACGAUGGACAUUGCAAAGAGUGGCGAACGGGUGAGUAACACGUGGGAAACCUACCUCUUAGCAGGGGAUAACAUUUGGAAACAGAUGCUAAUACCGUAUAACAAUGACAACCGCAUGGUUGUUAUUUGAAAGAUGGUUCUGCUAUCACUAAGAGAUGGUCCCGCGGUGCAUUAGCUAGUUGGUAAGGUAAUGGCUUACCAAGGCGAUGAUGCAUAGCCGAGUUGAGAGACUGAUCGGCCACAAUGGGACUGAGACACGGCCCAUACUCCUACGGGAGGCAGCAGUAGGGAAUCUUCCACAAUGGGCGAAAGCCUGAUGGAGCAACGCCGCGUGUGUGAUGAAGGGUUUCGGCUCGUAAAACACUGUUGUAAGAGAAGAAUGACAUUGAGAGUAACUGUUCAAUGUGUGACGGUAUCUUACCAGAAAGGAACGGCUAAAUACGUGCCAGCAGCCGCGGUAAUACGUAUGUUCCAAGCGUUAUCCGGAUUUAUUGGGCGUAAAGCGAGCGCAGACGGUUAUUUAAGUCUGAAGUGAAAGCCCUCAGCUCAACUGAGGAAUUGCUUUGGAAACUGGAUGACUUGAGUGCAGUAGAGGAAAGUGGAACUCCAUGUGUAGCGGUGAAAUGCGUAGAUAUAUGGAAGAACACCAGUGGCGAAGGCGGCUUUCUGGACUGUAACUGACGUUGAGGCUCGAAAGUGUGGGUAGCAAACAGGAUUAGAUACCCUGGUAGUCCACACCGUAAACGAUGAGUGCUAGGUGUUUGAGGGUUUCCGCCCUUAAGUGCCGCAGCUAACGCAUUAAGCACUCCGCCUGGGGAGUACGACCGCAAGGUUGAAACUCAAAGGAAUUGACGGGGACCCGCACAAGCGGUGGAGCAUGUGGUUUAAUUCGAAGCAACGCGAAGAACCUUACCAGGUCUUGACAUCCCUUGACAACUCCAGAGAUGGAGCGUUCCCUUCGGGGACAAGGUGACAGGUGGUGCAUGGUUGUCGUCAGCUCGUGUCGUGAGAUGUUGGGUUAAGUCCCGCAACGAGCGCAACCCUUAUUACUAGUUGCCAGCAUUUAGUUGGGCACUCUAGUGAGACUGCCGGUGACAAACCGGAGGAAGGUGGGGAUGACGUCAAAUCAUCAUGCCCCUUAUGACCUGGGCUACACACGUGCUACAAUGGCGUAUACAACGAGUUGCCAACCCGCGAGGGUGAGCUAAUCUCUUAAAGUACGUCUCAGUUCGGAUUGUAGGCUGCAACUCGCCUACAUGAAGUCGGAAUCGCUAGUAAUCGCGGAUCAGCACGCCGCGGUGAAUACGUUCCCGGGUCUUGUACACACCGCCCGUCACACCAUGAGAGUUUGUAACACCCAAAGCCGGUGGGGUAACC